rnacentral:rRNA from 1 species
GAAUAUUGGACAAUGGGGGCAACCCUGAUCCAGCCAUGCCGCGUGUGUGAAGAAGGCCUUCGGGUUGUAAAGCACUUUCAGCGAGGAGGAAAGCCUGAUGGCUAAUACCCAUCGGGGGUGACGUUACUCGCAGAAGAAGCACCGGCUAACUCCGUGCCAGCCGCCGCGGUAAUACGGAGGGUGCAAGCGUUAAUCGGAAUUACUGGGCGUAAAGCGCACGUAGGCGGCGAGUUAAGCUAGCUGUGAAAGCCCCGGGCUCAACCUGGGAACUGCAGUUAGAACUGGCUAGCUAGAGUACGGUAGAGGAGUGUGGAAUUUCCUUUGUAGCGGUGAAAUGCGUAGAUAUAGGAAGGAACAUCAGUGGCGAAGGCGACACUCUGGACUGAUACUGACGCUGAGGUGCGAAAGCGUGGGGAGCAAACAGG